GCAUAUAACUCUGAUGCCAUCACACAACACUCCUGUCUCUUUGCCUAAGCUGAACCCUGGCUCUCCUCGGAGGGCACUGAGUCUGCUGCAGAAUCACGUCAUUCUCCAUUCUCCAAAUGUCACAGAGAUCAAAGAAUUGAUCCCAGCAUCACCAGUGUGUACUCAAGGAAAGCCUGCUGAAUGAACGGAUAUCUGAGCUGGGUGAGGCUGACUUAGAAGCAGGAUGAUGAGGAAACUGAGGCAUGGAGCAACUAGUAACUUGCCCAAGGUCGUGGAACACAGUGGAAGCAGCCUCAAGAACAGAUUCAGUAAUCUGACGUAUCUGUGGAGUGCGUACUCAGUAUCUGAGUGGAGGCACUGUGAUGGGGAGGAAGGUCAACCACUGUGAAAUGUGCUAGAACAAAUAUGCUGAAGACACUGAAAAUGUCAACUGUGGGCUUUCAUCACAGUGAAAAUCAGUGGGCACUCUGCCUAAUGAAAAUCAUGGCAUCGAGCUACAUGAAAUCAAAGACUCAUCCUGAAUUUUAGGAGAUGUCACCCUAUGAGUCCAUUUCCCUAUAUUGGUGUAUAAUAGCACCAUGAGAGAUGGAGGAUCAUCAUGACAUGAGGGAACAUCAUGCCUUGGUCACCCCCAGCAUCCCAGACAUUAUACCCAGUGCUCCGCGUGUGCUUUCCAGUUUGACCCUCACAACAACUCUGUCAGGACUGGCUGGAUGCAAAGGAUCCCACAAGGGACUCCAAGGAACUCUGAAGGUGGAGUUAUCAUAAGAUGGAAGGAGAAAGGACCCCAGAGCGUCCCUGGAAGGCUGCCCACCAAACUGAAGCUACUGGAGAUGUAGCCAUAAAAAUAGAGGAUUAAAUCAAGAAUGAGGAAACUAUGAAAUCCAGAAGCAAGCUGCAAUGAUGGAGAAUACAACAUGGCAAGAAACUGGGGGACAUCCUUCAAUGUCACCUGGCAAGAGACUGGGACCACUAUUACAGCAGCCUCCAAAGAACUGAGUGCUCUCAACAACCAUGUGAACUUGGAAGAAGAUCUUCCCCAGCCAAAUUUCAAAUGAGACCAUGGCCCCAGGUGACAUCUUGUUUGUAACCUUGUAAGACCGUAGAGAGUACCAUAGCUAAG